rnacentral:rRNA from 1 species
UACGUAGGGUGCGAGCGUUGUCCGGAAUUACUGGGCGUAAAGAGCUCGUGGGUGGUUUGUCGCGUUGUUCGUGAAAACUCACAGCUUAACUGUGGGCGUGCGGGCGAUACGGGCAGACUGGAGUACUGCAGGGGAGACUGGAAUUCCUGGUGUAGCGGUGGAAUGCGCAGAUAUCAGGAGGAACACCGGUGGCGAAGGCGGGUCUCUGGGCAGUAACUGACGCUGAGGAGCGAAAGCGUGGGGAGCGAACAGG